UCACGCUGUUGCUGAGGGGGAGCCGCCUAGCGGGGCAGAUUUCGGCCGGGGGGGAGCUGCGGCCAUGAGGGCACAGGGAGGGGGAUUAUGAUGGGGGGUGGGAUUAAUGAUGGCCAUAGGAACGAUACUGGGGCUUCUUUAGCUCCUGCCUGGAUCCCAGCAGUGCUGAGGGAACAGCCUAGCACAGACUUGGGGGACAAGUGCCCUGAAAAAAGGGGGGUGACCCUUGGUGCCAGUGUUUUAUGCCCCACUGCGGCCUCUGACCAGCCCUUUCCCCAAGAUGGAGGAAAAAAAUGGCAUUUUUUUUUCCAUGGAAAAGCCCAGGACAGGUUGCAGGGCUGGUCCUGGCCUAUAAAGCAGAGAGAAAAAGCAGAAGUGAGUUAGCAGGGUUGGAAGAACAGCAUAAUCCAGGAGGAUUAUGACAAACAGGAGGUUGGUGGCUCCUGGGUGCGACACGAGCGCGUCCCCUCACGCGGCCCAGCUCCGAGCUGCCCUGGAACUGGCUGGAGCUGGCUGAACAGAACAGGAAGCUUUGGUCGGUUAUGAAGCAGGCUCCGUCUGUGAGCUGAUGUGGAAACGUGCCUCGGGUUAAUUAAACUUCAUUAUACCUUUCAGACUGGCUCUGAACUCAUUUUGUAUUGUAUUAAAGAUGGAGUGCACAAAA